rnacentral:rRNA from 1 species
AUUGAACGCUGGCGGCAGGCUUAACACAUGCAAGUCGAGCGGGGGAAGGUAGCUUGCUACCGGACCUAGCGGCGGACGGGUGAGUAAUGCUUAGGAAUCUGCCUAUUAGUGGGGGACAACAUCUCGAAAGGGAUGCUAAUACCGCAUACGUCCUCUGGGAGAAAGCAGGGGAUCUUCGGACCUUGAGCUAAUAGAUGACCCUAGGUCGGGUUCGCCAGUUGGUGGGGUAAAGGCCUACCAAGGCGACGAUCUAUAGAGGCUCUGAGAGGAUGCUCCGCCCAACGGGGACCUGGACACGGUCCGGACUCCUACCGGAUGCAGCAGUGGGGAAACUUGGACAGUGGGGGGAACCCUGAUCCAGCAAUGCCGCGUGUGUGAAGAAGGCCUUAUGGUUUUAAAGCACUGUAAGCGAGGAGGAGGCUACUUUAGUUAAUACCUAGUGAUAGUGGACGUUACUCGCAGAAUAAGCACCGGCUAACUCUGUGCCAGCAGCCGCAGUAA